UACGUAGGGUGCGAGCGUUAAUCGGAUUUACUGGGCGUAAAGCGUGCGUAGGCGGUUCGCUAAGUCGGUUGUGAAAUCCCUGGGCUUAACCUGGGAACUGCAGUCGAUACUGGCGGACUAGAGUACGGUAGAGGGUGGCGGAACUCCGGGUGUAGCGGUGAAAUGCGUAGAUAUCCGGAAGAACACCGAUGGCGAAGGCAACCACCUGGGCCUGUACUGACGCUGAGGUGCGAAAGCGUGGGGAGCAAACAGG
rnacentral:rRNA from 1 species